UUAUCAAAGACUUCACAUCACAGAACACAAAAAUUCACUCAUUCAUAUUCUGCAUUCUCAAACUCUUUUUUCAUCCUAUUUCUCUCAAUUCUCAUGGCUAUACAAUCACCUUCCUCAUCCUCUUCAUUCUCCCAUGGAUUCACUUACCAAGUGUUCCUCAGUUUUAGGGGCACUGACACUCGGCACAGUUUUACCGGAAAUCUCUACAAGGCUCUUACUGACAAGGGAAUCCAUACCUUCAUUGAUGACAAUGAUCUUCAAAGAGGAGAUGAAAUCACACCAUCACUCCUCAAGGCCAUUGAUGAAUCUAGGAUUUUUAUUCCUGUGUUUUCUAUCAACUAUGCCUCUUCUUCGUUUUGUUUGGACGAACUUGUCCACAUAAUUCACUGCUACAAGACAAAGGGUCGCCUCGUUUUGCCUGUUUUCUUCGGCGUGGAACCUACUAACGUGCGACAUCAGAAAGGUAGUUAUGGUGAAGCAUUGGCUGAGCAUGAAAAGAGGUUUCAAAAUGAUAAGAAUAACAUGGAGAGGUUGCAGCGAUGGAAAGUGGCUCUGAGCCAGGCUGCUAACUUGUCCGGCUACCAUGAUAGUCCUCCUGGAUAUGAAUACGAGUUUAUUGGAGAGAUAGUCAAAUACAUCUCCAACAAGACCAGUCGUCAACCCUUACAUGUUGCCAAUUACCCUGUUGGAAUGAAGUCUCGAGUACAACAAGUGAAAUCGCUUCUUGAUGAAAGAUCUGAUGAUGGAGUCCACAUGGUAGGACUUUAUGGUACUGGAGGAUUGGGUAAAUCAACACUUGCAAAAGCAAUUUAUAAUUUUAUUGCUGAUCAAUUUGAAUGCUCAUGUUUUCUUGAAAAUGUGAGAGAGAAUUCAGCUUCAAAUAAAUUGAAACAUCUUCAGUUGGAGCUCCUUUUAAAAACACUUCAACUUGAAAUUAAGUUUGGAGGUGUUAGUGAGGGAAUUCCUUAUAUAAAGGAAAGGCUACAUAGAAAGAAGGUUCUUUUGAUUCUUGAUGAUGUUGACAAUAUGAAGCAACUACAUGCUUUGGCUGGAGGACCUGAUUGGUUCGGCCGUGGAAGCAAAGUCAUCAUUACCACUCGAGACAAACACUUACUAACCUGUCAUGGGAUAAAAAGUAUGCAUGAAGUAGAAGGGUUGUAUGGGACAGAAGCUCUUGAAUUGUUGAGGUGGAUGGCUUUUAAAAGUGACAAUGUUCCUUCAGGUUACGAAGAGAUUUUAAACCGUGCAGUUGCAUAUGCUUCUGGCCUUCCGUUAGUUAUAGAAAUAGUGGGUUCUAACUUAUCUGGAAAGAACAUAGAGGAAUGGAAGAAUACAUUAGAUGGGUAUGACAGGAUUCCCAAUAAAGAGAUCCAAAAGAUACUUAAAGUAAGUUAUGAUGCUUUGGAGGAAGAGCAGCAAAGUGUCUUUCUAGACAUUGCUUGUUGCUUCAAAAGAUGUAAAUGGGAAGAUGCCAAAUAUAUACUUAAUUCUCAUUAUGGCCAUUGCAUAACACAUCAUCUAGGAGUGUUGGUUGAAAAAUCUCUCAUAAAGAAAUUACGGGAAUAUGACGAUUAUGUGAUGUUACAUGACUUGAUAGAGGACAUGGGUAAAGAAGUCGUCCGACAAGAAUCAAUUAAAGAGCCUGGAGAAAGAAGUAGGUUAUGCUGUCAGGAUGAUAUAGUUCGUGUUUUAAGAGAAAACACUGGUACUAGUAAAAUUGAAAUGAUAUAUAUGAAUCUCCACUCCAUGGAAUCCGUGAUAGACGAGAAAGGAAAGGCCUUCAAGAAGAUGACAAAACUGAAAACACUUAUCAUUGAAAAUGGCCAUUGUUCUAAAGGUCUCAAGUAUCUUCCAAGCAGUUUGAGUGUAUUGAAAUGGAAAGGAUGUUUAUCGAAGUGUCUGUCAUCUAGGAUUUUAAACAAGAAGUUCCAGGAUAUGAAAGUCUUGAUAUUGGACCGAUGUAAAUAUUUAACACAUAUACCCGAUGUCUCAGGCCUUUCAAAUUUAGAAAAGUUAUCGUUUGAAAGAUGUUAUAAUUUAAUUACAAUUCACAAUUCGAUUGGACACCUUAAUAAACUUGAAAGGUUAAGUGCAUAUGGUUGCAAUAAGGUCGAACAUUUUCCACCUUUAGGUUUGGCAUCUCUUAAGGAAUUGAAUCUCAGUUCUUGCAGGAGUCUCAAGAGUUUUCCAGAAUUAUUAUGCAAGAUGACAAAUAUAGACAAUAUUUGGUUGUGUAAUACUUCCAUAGGAGAACUGCCAUUUUCAUUUCAAAAUCUUAGUGAACUUCAUAAGUUAUCAGUGACAUAUGGAAUGCUGAGGUUCCCAAAACAGAAUGAUAAGAUGUAUUCAAUAGUGUUUUCAAAUGUGACACAGCUUACUCUCUACCAUUGCAACCUCUCAGAUGAAUGUCUCCGAAGAGUUCUCAAGUGGUGUGUUAAUAUGACAUCUCUAAACUUAUUAUAUAGCAAUUUCAAAAUUCUUCCUGAGUGCCUUAGUGAAUGUCACCAUCUUGUUGAAAUUAAUGUGGGGUACUGCGAGUCCCUUGAGGAAAUUAGAGGGAUUCCACCAAAUCUAAAAGAGAUUAAUGCACAAGGAUGUCAAUCAUUGAGUUCCUCAAGUAAAAGAAUAUUAAUGAGUCAGAAACUACAUCAGGCUGGAUGCACCUAUAUUAAAUUCCCAAACGGAACAGAUGGGAUACCAGAUUGGUUUGAGCACCAAAGCAGGGGACCCACAAUUUCUUUCUGGUUUCGUAAAGAAAUCCCUUCUAUAACUUGUAUAAUUAUUUUUCCGGAAUGCGCUUGGGGCUCAAAUGUCGGUUUAUAUGUGAAUGGAUAUAAAAUUGAGAUAGAUUAUUGUUACCAGUAUGUGAGCUCGAAGGAUACAACUUUGAUUCAUAUGAAAUUGUAUGAACUAGGUAAAAGACAAUAUGAGUAUAAUAUGGACAAAGGACUUUUGAAAAGUGAAUGGAUCCAUGUGGAGUUUAAGUUGAAGGAUCACGAGAAUAGUGUUUAUACACAAAUGGGAGUCCACGUGUGGAAUGAGAAAAGCAACACGGAGGAGGAGAAUGUGGUAUUCAAAGAUCCUUAUCUAAAUUAGCAAUAAUACUUCAUUAUCACAAUUUGAGCCUCCUCUAAAAAAGCAAAGAUUGGUGGAAGUGGGAGUUUCAGAGACAGAGGAGGAUAUCAAUGCUUCAUUGCAACAGCAGGAUUUGACGAAAGAGGAACAAAAAGUUAAUCGUCUUCUUGUUAUUCUCUCAAUCUCAAGAAUACAGAAAGGAGAAGCCAUAUCUAUCAACUUGAAUUUUUGUUUAACUAUUACAUAAGGGUGCUUCAGAGACAUCAGAAGGAAUCGGGUCUAAUGAAAGGAAACCACAUGUAGUCAUCUGGCUAUUUGCAUUGUCAUGCGACAAGUCUAGAGGUUGCUUACAGCGCAGAAUCCGUUGGUUGUUCGAAAGGGCAGCGAGUAAUGAUAUGCUUUGCAGCUCAGUUGGAGUGCUUUGAGAAUUUCAAUCUUAGUACACAAUUUGGAAUCUACGUGUUCAACAAGAAAGGAAGCAUGAGAGAGGAUGCGGUAUUCACCAAUUCUUAUAGAAGGAGUAGAACUUGUGUAGCAGCAACAACACUCUCGACAUAUUUGCUUUUUGCGUACAAGAUCAAAACUGAUAUGGUUGGAUGGAUUUCUCAGUCUAAAGUCUGUCCUUACUGGAAGCUUUCUGAUUUAGAGGAAGUAAUGCAUGAUAAAAACUAAAUCUAAGAACCAACAUUUAUGAGAUCCUUUUGCAAGAGUGGAUUUCCCCUGGAACAUGUUCUUUGACAGAUUUUGCAGAGUUUCCCCUGGUACAUGAGAAAACCUAUUGAGUAUUAAGCCUGGUUUUUGGCGCACGAAAUUGAUUACCCUAGUGAAAAUGAAAAGGGAACUGGGCAUGGAAGCGUUCUAGAUCCUCAGGAAAGAGGUCCUGCCAAAGAGGAUGAUGAUGAUCAAUGUUUCGCUGAAGAGGAUUCUUAUUUCUCGGGAGAGCAAUAUCUUCAAGCAAAGAAUGUUGAGCCAGUCAUAGGGUCAGAUGAUCCUAUCUGUAUAACAGUUACUAAUAUGUAUGGAAGGGCUAAUGGUAAUGAUUUAAUGGCUCAAUAUGACAGGGAAUUGAUGGACGUAGAGGAAUGCAAUCUGAUGCACGCGGAACCUGUUAUGCAGGGAUUUUUCCCUCAGACAAACGACCUGAUCAUGUUGGGAGAUGGAAUAGUUAUGAAUCAUAGUGGAAGAUCACGACUCGAGCAAAUGGAAGAUGAUCAACACGGUUCAGUUAGGUCAAUCGGGGUGGGUUUCAACAGUGAUGCUGCCGAUAUCGGCAGUGAAGUGCAUGGAAGUUUUAUUGGUGGUAGCAGUGAAGGGGAUUUAGAAUAUUUCCGUGAUCGUGAUAGUGGACUUGGGGGAUUAUAAACACUCUCAUCAUGAUUUCGGAAAGAAUUCUAUGGACAAAUCAUUUAAAAAUAAGAAGAAAAAUGACGAGAUUGAGUCGAAUAAAUAUGUCUUUGGAGGUCAUAAAGAUGGACACUCACAAA